rnacentral:rRNA from 1 species
AUGCACGCCCUAAGCUGUAGCAAUACAGCCUGUGGGCUUAUGUCUUAUUAUCCUUGUUUUUUGAGUACCUAUGUUUCCUUGGUGGGUGUGCCUGCCAAAAGGACAACCAUUUAAACCUUUUUUAAUUUUUAAUCAGCGUCUGAAUCAACAUAAUUAUUUACAACUUUCAACAACGGAUCUCUUGGUUCUGGCAUCGAUGAAGAACGCAGCGAAAUGCGAUAAGUAGUGUGAAUUGCAGAAUUCAGUGAAUCAUCGAAUCUUUGAACGCACAUUGCGCCCCUUGGUAUUCCAUGGGGCAUGCCUGUUCGAGCGUCAUUUGUACCCUCAAGCUCUGCUUGGUGUUGGGUGUUUGUCCUCUCCUUGCGGUUGGACUCGCCUUAAAGCAAUUGGCAGCCAGUGUAUUGGUUUUAAGCGCAGCACAUUUUGCGUCUUGCUCCCACUAACACUAGCAUCCAUCAAGCCAUUUUUACCACUUUUGACCUCGGAUCAGGUAGGGAUACCCGCUGAACUUAAGCAUAUCAAUAAGCGGAGGAAGGA